GCAUGAAGCCGGAAUCGCUAGUAAUCGCAGAUCAGAAUGCUGCGGUGAAUACGUUCCCGGGUCUUGUACACACCGCCCGUCACACCAUGGGAGUCGAUAACGCCCGAAGUCAGUGACCCAACCGAGAGGAGGGAGCUGCCGAAGGCGGGAUGGAUAACUGGGGUGAAGUCGUAACAAGGUACC
rnacentral:rRNA from 1 species